UACUAAAAUUGGAACGAUACAGAGAAGAUUAGCAUGGCCUCUUUGAAAGUCUUAUGACAUUAAUAUGAAAAAGUAAGAAUCAAAAUUG
rnacentral:snRNA from 1 species